UUCAAAGCAUAUCCCUAGGUUAAAGGGUUCCUGGCCUCCAAGCGUCCCCCUUCCCUAGGCUGUCUGUGGGGUACAGCAUGUGGAUCCUCUGUCCCAGGCUCCCCUGUGAAGAUGUCAGGAACGGUCGGGGUGAUGUGAGGCUUCACUUGUGGGAAGUAGUGUUUUGGAAGGCUAAUGAGCUCUAGUCCCACUUCAAGAUAUGCCCCAUACUUCUUUCAGCAACAGCAUGAAUGUCAGAGGUGGAGGUGACCUUUACGAUUCAAAAUCUCCAGUUUUCAGCUGAGAAAACUGAGACCAAGAUUUGUCCAAGGCCACAUAAUGACUUCAUGGCAGAUGAGACUAGAACCAAGCUGUCUGAAUCCCCGUCAAGUUCUCUUAACAUGCAGAACAAAAGGAUGAGAAGGCAAGAAUUCUGACUAGAGCUUUGCAAGCUGAUGGGGUCUUCAAGUCCUGACCAGCCAAAAGACUCUGUGGAGUGACUGGUAAGGGUGAUGGGGACGAUGCAGAGACGUGACCAAGAGCAUAAGUAAGACUUCACAGGAGAACCACAGCAACUCAUGAAGAUGACCAGCUAAGAAGCGCAGGGGUUUCAAUUUGCAUGGAUCAGAGGACACCCACAUGGUUCCAAGCUCUGAUCCUCAAAGUACUGAAGAAAGUAUGGAUUAAACAAGGUUUUGUAGCCCAAGGGAUACAGGGGCCAAGGGAUGCUAUUUAUAACAUCAUUCCUAAGGGAAAACUCACUCUGAGUUCCCAAAAGCUGACUAAUGAAUGAGAGGAACACAAUGUAUUAGUAAGUCUGGGAUUGCUUUUAUAUGAAUGACGUGUGAAUUACAGAUAAGCUUAAUCUUUUAAAAUUUUAAAAAGAAGAGGUAGGUAACCUAAAGGAAUCUCUAAGAAGCAGAAUGCAAAAUUUUGUUGUUGUUCAGUCCUGUAGGACUCUUUGUGACCCCAUUUGGGGUUUUCUUGGCAAGGAUACUGAAG